GGACUGGAGAUGAAAUAAGAUUGGCCAUGAGUCAUUCAUUGUGCUGAGUGAUGGGUGGAUUUCUCUAUACUAGUCUGCCUACUUUUUGCAUAUUUUUGAAAUUUUCCAUGAGAAAAGUUAUUUUAUAAAUAUCUAUUACCUAUUCAUAGAAAAAAAUUAGAAGUAUAUACUCAAAAUGUAACAGUGGUGAUAGGUGAUUUUUAUUUUCUUCUUUGUGCUGCCCCACAGUUUCCACAUUUCUGCAAGUGUGUAUUAUUUUUAAAAUCAAGAAAGGUGUUUUUCUUGGGAAAGUGGCUACCGAUUAUUGGCCCAGCUGGAAAUGAGUAGGCUUAACGAGCAAAAACCAAGCCCUGGCUAGAGAAAUAUAAGUUAAUUAAAUUAAGGGUAGCUUCCCAGCAGAGAGAGAGAGAGAAACCAGGUAAAGGGAAGGCGAAAGUUUUAGCUUCUUCCUCUGCUAAGGAAACUUGAGCUGUGAGAAGAGGCUUUGUGGGAAUCAUGGUGAGUCAGAGUCAGCAAGAGUCCAAUCUCCUGUGAAUAACAGAUAUUAAAAUAGGACAGCAUAAAAGACUUGGAAGAAACCUCCAUCCUCUGGGACUUGGAGAAGGCUGUGCUGGAAUCUGUGUGGAGGUUAAGAAAACUAUCCCUUUGGUUGUGGCCUGAGUUUAUUAUCUCAACCCCAAUGUUGCCCUGAAAUCUGUGUUCAAGAUUCAAGAAGAUUAGGACUGCUAAGGAGAUGACCUGUCCUGCCCUGUCUAUUUUGCUGAGCCAUGUGAGACUUAUCUAAGAAACGAUCAGAAGCACUUAUAUUUCAGCACCUUGGAGAGCUACCAGUGGAUGUGGGUGAUGUCGUUUUACGCAUCAGCCAUUUGGGGCUAUGGUUCCACUGAAAACGUUGACUGGACUGCUUGAAGCGUGGCUGUCUCUUCUGACUCGCUACAUCCAGCAACCAAAGAUGUGCCUUAAAAUAUUUAACAAUUUCUCUAUUGAUACAUAUCAUACUCAUUGUUUUUGUUCUUACAAUUAUUUCUUCACUAGUCAUCUGUGGAGAAAUAUUCUUCUGUUCUGGUGCUUUUAAACUCCUAAAUUUGAAAUACUAGAUUGGUUUGCUUAUGUGAGCAUCUUUAUAAAGUCAGGGCAAUAAUUAGUUUAUUCCAGGUUUUCUCUUAUGCCAUCACCCAUGAAUCUCCUGCAUCAUACCUAGCACCUCUGAAAGAAAUAUGAGCUUUUUCAAAAGAGAGUAAAGACAUGCAUUUGAUACAGUUUUGUAAUUUCUAUUCUGUCAUACUAAUCUCAGGCUCUUAAAAACAUUUUGUUAUGGGUAAAGGAGAAAAAAUUUCAAAGAAUUUCAGGAAAAAGAAUACCUUAAAAAUGUGUAUGCUGAAAAAAUUAAAGUGAGUAUGAACAAAUGAAUGUAAUAUGUCAAUAUUAAGAGUUCUACGGCCAAAAAAGCAUUAGCAUGAUUUGAAAACAGAUUGCAUGUCUCUUUAAACAAUGGCAUCUCUAAAAAUGGGAUGCUGUUAUAAAUAUACUUCUGUUAAUUGUCUUCAUGUCAGACUUAAUUUAAUCAUAAAAAAAUUUGAUUUGAUUUUAAUACUGUAGGAAACAUAUUUUGGUUUUAAGGAUUACCUAAAAAUCAAGUUGUAAUCUUUUUAAAAAGUAUAAAAUUACUAUAUCUUCACAAAUCAGCAAGGAGUAAUGCUAGCCAGGGCUUUUCUAAGCUAACCAUACAAUCUUUUUUUUCUCAUUUUUCUUUUGGCUUUCCUUCUAUUGAAUUUCUUCUACAGGGAAUUGAUGUUGGGUAACCUUGCAACAGAUUUUAAAUCCCUUUGACUUUUAAUUUACAUUGUAUUAUUUUUACACAAAAAUCGGGUCUUGUUUCUUUCUUUUUGCUUAGGUAAACAGUUAAAAAAGCUUUAACCCAGAGAUACUUCAUCUUUUGAAAUCUGCUAAAUUUUUAACUAGCUCAAAUUUUCUUAAUUAGGCAAGAUAUAAAUAAAUUUAUAAGUAAAGUUUUUAAUCUUUUGACCCGUACAUAUUGAGCUACAGAGCAUAACAGCUACUUUAAAAAUGUAAGAAUAAGUGAUUGUAUAUCUGUGUGUGUGUGUGAGAAUGUUUAUUAAUCAUUUCUUUGUUUAUUUUAUUUUAUUCAUUCAUCAUCAAAAUAAUAGCCAAAAAUCUUCCAAUGAUUAGCUUAAUGAAGGAAAAGUUCUGUUUAAUAAAAUUUUAACAUUAAUAACAGUGUUAGGAUUAUUAAAAUGGUGUUUUGAUAUUGUCAUUCAAGCAACAUAAAAGACAUUAUAUAAAUCACUCCAUGAAAAAAAAAAGAGACAAGAUGAGUCACAUUUCCUUUCAGGCUGGCCAGAAAGAACAUUGCCAUAGAUUUGCCAGCACCUGACUAUUUUAUAACAUGGCAACAGUAUAAUAGAUUUCAACCUCAUUAAGUUUUGAGCCUGGGAUGGAACAACAUUAUGGCCAAUGGUUUAUAUUUGGCAAAAUUUAAUUUGGCCAACUUCAAUUUCCUAAAUUGGGAUCUCACUGAGAUGGCUGUUGUUGCCUGAACUCUUUUUGGGUCUUAGUGAGGUUGGCCUGAGUCUUAUGUGAGAAAGGCCAGAGCCAUGAAUUGGAUCCCAUUCUUAUUCUAUCUCUUGGUCACAGCCCACAGUUCUUGUACAGCUAACCACAACCUCAUCUUUGCAAACUUCAGAACUCUGUCUACCAAUAGGUGAAAGAAUGUUUAGUCCCUAUUCUAAUGCGUAUUGUGUGUUCAUUCAUCCUGCCAAUAUGAGUAGUAAGUGUAUUAGCAUAUUUAUAUGGUUUUCAUGUUUAUCUCUGUUAGAUAAUAAAUUUCCUGAGAAAAAGAGCUUUGCCCUAUUUUUUCAGCUUU
ensembl:lncRNA